AGCGAACGCUGGCGGCAGGCUUAACACAUGCAAGUCGAGCGGGCACUUCGGUGUCAGCGGCAGGCGGGUGAGUAACACGUGGGAACGUACCCUUUGGUUCGGAAUAACGCUGGGAAACUAGCGCUAAUACCGGAUACGCUCUUUUGGGGAAAGGCUUGCUGCCGAAGGAUCGGCCCGCGUCUGAUUAGCUAGUUGGUGGGGUAAUGGCCUACCAAGGCGACGAUCAGUAGCUGGUCUGAGAGGAUGAUCAGCCACACUGGCGCUGAGACACGGCCCAGACUCCUACGGGAGGGAGCGGUGGGGAGUAUUGGACAAUGGGCGCAAGCCUGAUCCAGCCAUGCCGCGUGAGUGAUGAAGGCCUUAGGGUUGUAAAGCCCUUUUGUCCGGGACGAUAAUGACGGUACCGGAAGAAUAAGCCCCGGCUAACUUCGUG
rnacentral:rRNA from 1 species